rnacentral:rRNA from 1 species
CCUACGGGAGGCAGCAGUGGGGAAUAUUGCACAAUGGGGGGAACCCUGAUGCAGCGACGCCGCGUGAGUGAAGAAGUAUUUCGGUAUGUAAAGCUCUAUCAGCAGGGAAGAUAAUGACGGUACCUGACUAAGAAGCCCCGGCUAACUACGUGCCAGCAGCCGCGGUAAUACGUAGGGGGCAAGCGUUAUCCGGAUUUACUGGGUGUUAAGGGUGCGUAGGUGGCAAGGCAAGUCAGAUGUGAAAGCCCGGGGCCCAACCCCGGUACUGCAUUUGAAACUGUCCGGCUGGAGUGCAGGAGAGGUAAGCGGAAUGCCUAGUGUAGCGGUGAAAUGCGUAGAUAUUAGGAGGAACACCAGUGGCGAAGGCGGCUUACUGGACUGUAACUGACACUGAGGCACGAAAGCGUGGGGAGCAAACAGGAUUAGAUACCCCUGUAGUC